rnacentral:tRNA from 9 species
GGCCCCGUAGCUCAGCUGGAUAGAGCGUCCCCCUCCUAAGGGGAAGGUCGCACGUUCGAAUCGUGCCGGGGUCGCCA